GGCUUUAUAGUCAAAAUUAUGAUAUUAGACUGCAAUUCUAAAGUUAGAUUUAUCUUAAAGCCU
rnacentral:tRNA from 1 species